CGAGUCAGUGAGACCGCAUUUGAGAAACAAGUUCUAACGAGUGAUUAUCAUUCAGAUGAGGACAUUGCCCUCGUGAGACGGUCCCCGAUUUCGGUAGGAUGUCCAUUUUAGGCCCGUCGAGUAGUUAAUUGGUAUAUCCUCUACCUGCGUCGUUGAAAAUGUCAAAGGAGUAACAAGUGCAACAGGGGUCAGAUCUUCACAAGUCUCCCAGUGGGCAAGUCUACGUCAUGGGGCUGCAUGGGGGGUAGUCGUCGCCAUGACAGCCGUAACAUUACCGUCUGCGCAUUCUCCCGCCGCCUUCACCUGUGUCGCACAUUGCAUUUGUAUCUGGUUGUUGCCAAAACGCGCCGCGCGACAGAACAGAGGGCCUGGGGAUACAGGCGCAGCGAGCGGUGAGCGGUUCGUGCCUCAGCUAGAAAGGCGGGCCGCGGGUGCGUGGUCUUGUGGAAAACCGAGGUCGUGGCAGAAACAUUCUGUCAUGCCACAUUAGAAGACUCUUCUGAGGAGCUUUCUUAAAGGAAUAGCGACGCCUUCAAGUGGCAGUAGACGCUCUAAACCACUGAGGACCGGUUGUGCAGAAGAAUAUUCUUCCGUCCUGACUUGGCAAGACGUUCGUUAAGCUUUCCUUUUCAAGAAAGGAUUGAAGACAUUCCGGGAGUCGUGAGGUUGAAGUAAGACAGGUGUGCCGGCGCCUAAGGUAAACACAGGUGUGCCGGCCGACAGGAGACCCACAAACCACGACACACGGCCAAGUUUGACUGCCGCGGACGGACACAGCAUCCGUGCUGGCGGCUUGACAAGUGGACUACAAACCCACUAUAUCGACGUUGGAGACGAAUUCAGAGACAGAGAUGGCGUCCUUAAGGGUUGUUCUCGUCCUACUCCUGGUGGUUGUGAUGUCAUCAUUCUCCGCUCCUGUUCCCGCCAAAUCUGACGACAAGACAGGGAAUGGCGUAUCUACAGAGGAGGAAAAGAUCAGAGAAGUCCAGUACGCGCCUACAGUUAACGAGGAUGAGUGCUAUGAGGAUCCAAAAGGAAAUAUACAUUUCCAAGGCAUAAAGUGCUGGGACCCCAGCUGGGCCGUGCUGAGUGACCCGCUUUGUGUGCGGACCUGGGAGGACGACAGGUGCUGUCCCACAGUGCUUUGUGCCUGAGAAAACUGCUCUUCACAAACUUUGAGGCAGAAAAUGGACUGACUAACACAUAGCAAAGCUCACGUGGUGACCAUUUGGGGUGUUCAAAAAAUACAUGUUGCAGUUAAGUAUGGACUCUAAGUUUUUGUCAUAAAGUGUCUUAUAGCAAGUCGAUAAUUUAUGCAGAUUUUUAUGACGUCAUGAUGACGUCAUCAAGUAUUAUGGGGCCACGCCCAUUUUCAUAAAAAAUGAACCUACAGGCUGGGGAUUGGAGAUAAGUCAAUGGAAUCUCUUGUAAUAUGUCCAUAAUAGUGAUGGCAAGCCAUACAAAUUCGUUUUUUAUCAGAUUUCCAAAUACUGAUUUUUAACGAAUUUUUUUUGGUGAAUUUUUAUUGCCCCCGAUGCCCCCAGCCCUGGGGGACUCAAAUAGCACCGCAUCGUUUCGGCUGAAUUUGAAGCUUUAGUUUUGAGGGUUAACUCCACAAAAAUGACUCUUUUUCCCUUGUUUUAUGAUUAGUUUUACCAUGGGUUCGUCGCAAAAAUCAUUCAUCUAUCGUAGUUGUAACAUAUUUCCCCUUCAGGGGCCGUAAAAGAGCCAAAAUCGCCGGGUUUUGGCCUGCAUUCCAUAGGCCCCGCUCACUUCCGGUAAAAUGCGAGGUCAUUGACCUUUGAGCACGCAGUAUUCCAUAGAAAUGGCGCGAUUUGCAAAUCCAAGCCGGGGGUGACUCCGCAAAACCUGCCAGCCCGAAAUAAACAACAACACGCGAUGACGUCACGGCCAUGCCAGCAAGCCAAGAUGGCGGACUCGGUGAGAGGCGAAUCCCGCCGAGCGCUUUGUGGCGAAGUUUGGGCCGGAAAACGGCCGUAUACAGGGAUAUGUCCUACAAAGUAUUGUAGGACAAGUCUUUAGGAUUAUUCUGAUGCCUUUUGGAGACACUCUAUCCGUUUUUUCUGGAGAUACGGACUUGUUUUUGAUGCCGGACCCUCACGUCCCUUUGUUAUGCCAUGCCGCCACAUGAUCCGAGAAAAAAUUAUACACAUGUGCGCCCACGAUUUCCACCGUUGUCGGGACGAAAACAGCUAGCUUCUGCGCGGCUUGAUUGGGAUAGAUAGCCCCGAGAAAGGAGAUGGCCGAAUGUGGUAUGGAAUAAUUCAGCAAAUUGUUGAGUAAUUUUUCGUCGUAGUCAAGGGUCGGAGCACUAAAGCUUUUGUAUGUUUGCCCAGACGGUUACAUAUUUUACGUAAGUUCAACAUGGUAUCUACAAAAUAUCGACAAUCUGCAUGUUGUAAUGUUUGUCGGAAGUUAUUCUUCAACUACUCGAUGUGUAAAGAUAUUUGCCGUGUCGUCGGUCCGAAAUGUUACGUUACUAUGUAAUGGACAUCCAAGAAAGAAAGCCGUUACAGCAAGGAACUUUUAUCUUUGGUUACAACUUACAGUGAAGAUUGAAAACAUUGAAUCUAUUACAAUAAAAAUGAACGCUACCGUUACUGGUCUUUUGUCAUACUUGUUCACAUAUCAGUGCAGUCAAGCCGUUGGUUACGUUGCUAUCCAAGAAUGAAGAAAUAAAGCCAUUGCAGUUGACGCUAGAUCGGAGUUUGCACGGGCACUAAAUUUAUUAAAUUUAAAAUAAAAAUGAA